GGAGAGGGUGCGCAUGCGUAAAUCGAACACCUCCUCUAAAUCUAACGCCCUGCUCAGUUCUAGAGGGGACAGCGCCCUCUGUCCUCCUGGCCGUUUUCCUGAACUCCUAACCUCAGUCAAUACUGCCUCGGGACCUGGCGCUGCCUGGGAGAUCCAGAAGAAAGGAAGCAUCUUGGCCCCUGCCUUGGGGGCGACACGACCGUCCCCAAACACAGCGAGUCACUGGCCUGGGUCUUUGUGCAGAGGCCCCUCUAGGAGCGGGGAACCAACGAUGGCACGAACAUUGAUUUGAGGAGGAUGCUUCGCAGUUUACGAAAAAAUGAGUGCUAGAGGCGUUCAGAAACGGGAAAGAUCACUUUGUGCUCCUGUGAUCUGAAGGCUGCGUGAAGAAGAUGAGGCUUGGAAAAUAGGUGAUUCUCACAAGAAGGCUUCAAUAAUCUCCAUGUUAGAGAUGAAGAGACUCAAGUAACUGAAAGUUACUUAAGGCCAAUGGGGACCCUGUGCAGCUAUAUAUCCAGUGUCCCAAGCACUGUGUCUGGCAUGUUAGUAAACAUGUUUCAUAGGUUCUGUCAGGUGAGCUGUUGUGCUGUAUGUCUGACCUGAAUUGCCUUUUAGGAGGGAAUCAGUACUUGGAAGCUGGAAUACAUCAGGGAUACCCCUAAAACGAGAGACUAUUUUUUUCCAUUGGAUUCUGACAUAAAUAAAUUUUGCCUACUUUGACAGUCA
rnacentral:lncRNA from 1 species